rnacentral:rRNA from 1 species
UAGGGAAUCUUCCGCAAUGGACGCAAGUCUGACGGAGCAACGCCGCGUGAGUGAAGAAGGAUUUCGGUUCGUAAAACUCUGUUGUUAGAGAAGAACAGCGCAUAGAGUAACUGUUAUGCGUGUGACGGUAUCUAACCAGAAAGCCACGGCUAACUACGUGCCAGCAGCCGCGGUAAUACGUAGGUGGCAAGCGUUGUCCGGAUUUAUUGGGCGUAAAGCGAGCGCAGGCGGUCAAUUAAGUCUGAUGUGAAAGCCCCCGGCUCAACCGGGGAGGGUCAUUGGAAACUGGUUGACUUGAGUGCAGACGAGGAGAGUGGAAUUCCAUGUGUAGCGGUGAAAUGCGUAGAUAUAUGGAGGAACACCAGUGGCGAAGGCGACUCUCUGGUCUGUAACUGACGCUGAGGCUCGAAAGCGUGGGUAGCAAACAGG